AAAUUAGUACUUUAAGUAAAAGGUCAGGUUUGCGUCUUGAAAUUGACAUUAUUGUCCUAAUUUG
rnacentral:tRNA from 1 species